AGAGUUUGAUCAUGGCUCAGAACGAACGCUGGCGGCAUGCCUAACACAUGCAAGUCGAACGAGACCUUCGGGUCUAGUGGCGCACGGGUGCGUAACGCGUGGGAACCUGCCUUUAGGUUCGGAAUAACUCAGAGAAAUUUGAGCUAAUACCGGAUAAUGUCUUCGGACCAAAGAUUUAUCGCCUUUAGAUGGGCCCGCGUUGGAUUAGCUAGUUGGUGGGGUAAAGGCCUACCAAGGCGACGAUCCAUAGCUGGUCUGAGAGGAUGAUCAGCCACACUGGGGCUGAGACACGGCCCAGACUCCUACGGGAGGCAGCAGUGGGGAAUAUUGGACAAUGGGCGAAAGCCUGAUCCAGCAAUGCCGCGUGAGUGAUGAAGGCCUUAGGGUUGUAAAGCUCUUUUACUGGGGAUGAUAAUGACAGUACCCAGAGAAUAAGCUCCGGCUAACUCCGUGCCAGCAGCCGCGGUAAUACGAAGGGGGCUAGCGUUGUUCGGAAUCACUGGGCGUAAAGCGCACGUAGGCGGAUUUGUUAGUCAGGGGUGAAAUCCCGGGGCUCAACCUCGGAACUGCCUCUGAUACUGCAGAUCUCGAGUCCGAUAGAGGUGAGUGGAAUUCCUAGUGUAGAGGUGAAAUUCGUAGAUAUUAGGAAGAACACCAGUGGCGAAGGCGGCUCACUGGACCGUUGCUGACGCUGAGGCGCGAAAGCGUGGGGAGCAAACAGGAUUAGAUACCCUGGUAGUCC
rnacentral:rRNA from 1 species